ensembl:miRNA bta-mir-653 bta-mir-653
UCAUUCCCUCAGUGUUGAAACAAUCUCUGUUGAACCAUGUUACAGGAAGUUCACUGGAGUUUGUUUCAACAUUGGAGGAAUGAUAAGAUG